rnacentral:tRNA from 1 species
GGGCGCUUAGCUCAGUUGGUUAGAGCGUCUCGUUUACACCGAGAAGGUCGGGGGUUCGAGUCCCUCAGCGCCCA